GUCAGAAUGGCCGAGCGGUCCAAGGCACUGUGUUUAGAUCACAGUCUCCUCUGGAGGCAUGGGUUCAAAUCCCACUUCUGACA